rnacentral:misc_RNA from 1 species
GGAACCCUGUCCUGUGCUGCAUAAAGAUUUCAUACGUUUUCUUUUGACUAUUCCCAGGCACAUAAUUUGUCAUUAAAAUUAGCUCCUAUUUUUUUGUUGGUUUUAUCUUUUUCAUUUCUAGUUAAUGAUUCAGCCCAAUCCAAAGAAAAUAAGAAGAAAAAAGCCUUCUUGCUUUUGAAAAGAUACUUAGCAAUACAUGUAGCAGCUACCUUGACAGAAACGUAACACAGUGUUGCAAAAUAUUUUCCACCAACAUAGAAAGCUAAUAAAUCAUAAAGCAGGAAAUAAAUUCAAACAUUACAUUGGAC